CUUGUCAUGUGACCGAGGUUCCUGCUUCGUACUAGGAUGGAGCCGGAAGAGGGGACGCCCUUGUGGCAGCUGCAGAAAAUUCCAGCCGAGCUGGGCCCGCAGCUUCUUCACAAAAUAAUUGAUGGCAUUUGUGGCCGAGCUUAUCCUCUCCACCAGGAUUAUCACAGUGUUUGGGAUUCAACAGAAUGGAAGAAUGUUCUAGAAGAUAUUACCAAAUUUUUCAAAGCUGUAGUUGGUAAAAAUUUAUCUGAUGAAGAGAUAUUUCAGCAGUUGAAUCAGUUGAAUUCAUUUCAUCAACAAGCUGUCAUGAAAUGCUUGAAAAGUAGGAAAGAUGAAAUCAAGCAGGCUCUGUUAGAAGAAAUAGUUGAUAUUUCUUCUGCACAGCUACAGGAUUUUGAUUGGCAGUUAAAGCAAAUUACAGUGAUGGACCAAAUGAAGCAAAAUAAACUGAGCAGAGAUAACCUAGCUUGCACUGUCUAGUGACAAGAUUGCUACUUUACAAAUGCCACUUUUAAACCUUCAUCUAGACAUAAAAGAAAAUGGUGAAGUCAAACCAUAUUCUGUUGAAAUGAGUAAAGAAGAGCUGCAGAAUCUAAUAAAUUCCUUGGAAGCAGCUAAUAAGGUGGUCCUGCAGUUGAAAUAACCAACACUCUGAGAUUCUACUGCUACCCCAGAUGCGGCCAAGUGAAUACUGUGUGUUCAGAAUACCUGCGCUGUACUGACUGUUUUGCUAUGCUGAGAAAGCAGCAUGUUGGGCUUACAGAGAUGAAAAUAUACCCGCUUCCCUGCAGAACAGGAAAUGACGUGGUCGACAGGAAAUGCAUAAAAAAUGAGAGAUGAAAAAGCUCUAAUAGCAGUUUAUAUUUUCAUAAUGGCUGUUUUGCCUCAUUUAUUAAAUAUUUGAGAAACCUUUAUAGAUACACAGUUUUAUUGAAAGCUAAAAAUAAGCUCUAAAGUAAUGUAAACGUACAAAGCACAAAUCUACUUGAAUGUUGCUUAAAGGAAUAUAUAUGAAUAACAAGGAUGUGUAUUAUGGAUAUAUAUGAUUAAUUUGUAAUAUUUUAAAAAAUAACUUUUAAAGAAUGUAUGAGCUGCAUAUAUAACUCAGGAGAUUCCAUAUCUUUCUUCUAUUUCAAAGGAAAGAUUAUAAAAUACAAAAUUUCUUAGAGAAAGAAGCUCCUCUUCAGACAUGAACAAGAAAAAAUAAUUAAAAUUAAAAUUAAAAUCAACAGUUUUGAGUUUAUGAAUUCUAGAGAUUAAAAUCUUUUACUCGAGUGGGAAAAAAUGAAAGUAACACUGUUACUUCUGCACUUCUGUGUCUGAUCGGGAGGCUGUGCUUCGUUAAAAAGAAUCGAUGUCAUUGCAUAGUGUAUAUAUAGCUAUUCAGGUAUCAGCUGAGAUUAAAUAUAGGUCCAUUUUUGUUAUAGACUUUUAAUAUUGAAGUUAAUAGUUUUGGGUGUUAACUUCACUGGAAAACAAACCAUUUUUAAUUUCAGUUAACUAAAAACAAGCAUUCUGAACAAAUAAAAAAUGUCAUUUUACUUUUACAUAUUGCUUUAUUUCAGAAGACUUUCUACAUAAUGCAGUGACCCGUAGUUAAUUGGUACCUGCUGUUUGCGAGCUUAAUUGCUCUUUAGAGCAUCAGACUAUUAUUUGAGGUGUUCAGAACAGUUAUUACUAUUUCUCAUCAUAGAGAUGAAGAUAGGCUUUGAGAGCUUAAAAAAAAAUACCUGCUCGUGAUCUAGGCAGUGCUCCUCAAAAUGUGUCUGUAGACUAAUGCCAGUCUUCUGUGCACUGUUUGUUACAGGUCAGGGAUUAGAUGAGGAGCGCAUGCCAGAGUGUUCAUCAAUAUAUUGCUUUUCUCAUUGAGAGAUGUUGAUUAUGGAAAAAAUAUCAGCUGAACGAAACAGUGUGCUUAGGGAGGUUGUUGACUUACUCCCUGUGCAAGUUCCUUAUGUCACGGACCGGUAGCGGUUUGCAGGCGAGCACUUUAAAUAAUGCAGAUGAUCGCUGAUGUACGAUGGUUUGACUUAGGAUUUUUUGACUUCACUGUGGUGCUAAAACAACCUGCAUUCAGUAGAAACCAUACUUUGAAUUUUGAUUUUUUUUUUAACACAUUUUGCAUUUUGAUCUUUUCCUGGGCUAGCAAUAUGCAGUCCAACACUCUUUUCUGAUUUGGGCAGCGGCAGCCCCGCAGCUCCCAGGCGGCCAUGCGGUCACAAGUAAACAGCUGAUAUCCUGACAACCAUCCUUUACCCAGACAACCUUCUGUUUCUCACUUUCAGUAUAGUAUUCAGUAAAUUACAUGAGGUAUUCAACACUUCAUUUAAAAAUAGGCUUUGUGUUAGAUGAUUUUGCCCAACUGGAGGCUAGUGUAAGUGUUCUGAGCAUUUAAGGUAGAGUAGGCUAAGCUGUGAUGUUCAGUAGGUGAGGCAUAUUAAAUGCGUUUUUGACUUACAGUAUUUUCAGUUUAUGAUGGGUUUAUUGGGAUGUAAACCCAUCACGUUGAAGAAGAUCUAUACUGAUUUAAGGUCCUUUGGAAUUUCAACCCUCCAUUUUCUUCCUUUGAUAAGCAGAAAAUCUUGCUCUACUUAUUCUUCCUCUCACCACCUUAUUUAUCACUCCAUUAGAAUAUUUAACGACUUUAUUGAAAUCUCACCGAUAUACUGUAAACCUCACAUAUUUAAAGUGUAUAAUCUGGUAAGUUUUGACAUCUGUACACCCAAGAAAGCAUCACCUCUGUCAGGAUGGUGAACAUGGCAAUCACUCCCAAAAGUUUCCUCCUAUUCCUUUGUAAUCCCUGCUCCUGUGCCCUCCCCCCCAACCCCUGAUCUACUUCCUGCCACUCGUAGAUUUGUUCACACUUUUCAAGAAUUUAAUAUUAGUGGAAUCAUACAGUAUGUACCUUUUCUUUUGAUCCGGCUUCUUUCAGUAUUGAGUUCAUCUGUGUUGUUGCAUAUAGCAAUAGUUCAUUCCUUUCUCUUUUUGAGAAGUAUUCAGUUGUAGAGUUUUACCAUAAUUUGUUUAUUCACCUGUUAAAGGAUAUUUUUGGUCGUUGAAAAUUUUUAUGGCCAUUACGUAACACAGAAUCCUGUGAACAUUCUUGUGUAAACCUUUGUAUGGACGUGUGCUUCCUUUGAGUGAAUACUUUGAGGAGUGAAAUGUUUCCAAAGUGAUUUUACCAUUGUACAUUCCAUCCCGCAGUCUGAGAGUUCCACCUUCUCCUGUUUGCUAACACGUGCUUUGGUCAAUCUUAAUUUCAGCUGUUGUAAUAAGUGUGUAGUCAUAUCUCGUUGUGGUUUUAAUUAUAUUUAUUUCCCUAAUGA